rnacentral:rRNA from 1 species
UUAAAAAGCUCGUAGUCGGAUUUUGGCUGAGAACGGUCGGUCCGCCGUUAGGUGUGCACUGACUGGUCUCAGCUUCCUGGUGAGGAGGUGUGCUUCAUCGCCACUUAGUCACCGUGGUUACUUUGAAAAAAUUAGAGUGUUCAAAGCGGGCUUACGCUUGAAUAUAUUAGCAUGGAAUAACACCAUAGGACUCCUGUCCUAUUUCGUUGGUCUCGGGACGGGAGUAAUGAUUAAGAGGAACAGUUGGGGGCAUUCGUAUUUCAUUGUCAGAGGUGAAAUUCUUGGAUUUAUGAAAGACGAACUUCUGCGAAAGCAUUUGCCAAGGAUGUUUUCAUUGAUCAAGAACGAAAGUUGGGGGCUCGAAGAUGAUUAGAUACCAUCCUAGUCUCAACCAUAAACGAUGCCGACUAGGGAUUGGCGGAUGUUAAUUGAUGACUUCGCCAGCACCUUAUGAGAAAUCAAAGUUUUUGGGUUCCGGGGGGAGUAUGGUCGCAAGGCUGAAACUUAAAGGAAUUGACGGAAGGGCACCACCUGGCGUGGAGCCUGCGGCUUAAUUUGACUCAACACGGGGAAACUUACCAGGUCCAGACAUAGUAAGGAUUGACAGAUUGAGAGCUCUUUCU